GACGAACGCUGGCGGCGUGCUAAUACAUGCAAGUAGAACGCUGAAGGAGGAGCUUGCUUCUCUGGAUGAGUUGCGAACGGGUGAGUAACGCGUAGGUAACCUGCCUGGUAGCGGGGGAUAACUAUUGGAAACGAUAGCUAAUACCGCAUAACAGUAGAUGUCGCAUGACAUUUGCUUAAAAGGUGCAAUUGCAUCACUACCAGAUGGACCUGCGUUGUAUUAGCUAGUUGGUGAGGUAACGGCUCACCAAGGCGACGAUACAUAGCCGACCUGAGAGGGUGAUCGGCCACACUGGGACUGAGACACGGCCCAGACUCCUACGGGAGGCAGCAGUAGGGAAUCUUCGGCAAUGGACGGAAGUCUGACCGAGCAACGCCGCGUGAGUGAAGAAGGUUUUCGGAUCGUAAAGCUCUGUUGUAAGAGAAGAACGAGUG
rnacentral:rRNA from 1 species